rnacentral:rRNA from 1 species
UACGGAGGGUGCGAGCGUUGUCCGGAUUUAUUGGGUUUAAAGGGUGCGUAGGUGGCUUUAUAAGUCAGUGGUGAAAUACAGCCGCUCAACGGUUGAGGUGCCAUUGAUACUGUAGAGCUUGAAACAAGUGGAGGCUGCCGGAAUGGAUGGUGUAGCGGUGAAAUGCAUAGAUAUCGUCAAGAACACCGAUAGUGAAGACAGCUUACUAGGCUGCAACUGACGCUGAGGCACGAAAGUGUGGGGAUCAAACAGG